UGGUAAUGUAUGGUCAGUCAUGAUUUUGUAUUCCUGUGGUAAUGUAUGGUCAGUCAUGAUUUUGUAUUCCUGUGGUAAUGUAGUUAGUUCCCUUUAGGAGGACUGUGAAUACAGCAUUUACCCAGACGACCCAGAGAUGAUAGGGUCUGUCUGCAUGCUCUCCUUGGAGGAGCAGGAACGUGUGUGUUUAUGUGUGUGUGUGUUUAUGUGUGUGAACAGGUGUGUGUGUGUGUGUGUGCAGGUGUGUGUGAGCAGGUGUGUGUGUGUGUGUGUGUGUGUGUGUGUGUGUGUGUGUGUGUGUGUGUGUGUGUGUGAGCAGGUGUGUGUGUGUGUGUGUGUGUGAGCAGGUGUGUCUGUGUGUGUGAGCAGGUGUGUGUGUGUGUGUGAGCAGGUGUGUGUAUAUGUGUGUAUGUGUGUGCAGGUGUGUGUAUAUGUGUGUAUGUGUGUGCAGGUGUGUGUGUGAGAGCAGGUGUGUGUGUGCAGGUGUGUGUGUGUGUGUGUGUGUGUGUGUGUGUGUGUGUGUGUGUGUGUGUGUGUGUGUGUGUGUGUGUGUGUGUGUGUGUGUGUGUGUGUGUGUGUGUGUGUGUGUGUGUGUGUGUG